rnacentral:rRNA from 1 species
UACGUAGGGUGCAAGCGUUGUCCGGAAUUAUUGGGCGUAAAGAGCUCGUAGGCGGUUGGUCGCGUCGGCUGUGAAAUCCCGGAGCUCAACUCCGGGCCGGCAGUUGAUACGGGCCGACUGGAGUGUUGCAGGGGAGACUGGAAUUCCUGGUGUAGCGGUGAAAUGCGCAGAUAUCAGGAGGAACACCGGUGGCGAAGGCGGGUCUCUGGGCAACAACUGACGCUGAGGAGCGAAAGCGUGGGGAGCAAACAGG